rnacentral:rRNA from 2 species
UUGUCUCAAAGAUUAAGCCAUGCAUGUCUAAGCACAAACUUUUACACAGUGAAGCUGCGAAUGGCUCAUUAGGUCACCCAUGAUUUCUUAGAUCGUACAAUCCUACUUGGAUAACUGUGGUAAUUCUAGAGCUAAUACAUGCAAUUAAGCUCCGACCCCUCGUGGGGAAGAGCGCGUUUAUUAGAUCAAAACCAAUCGGGUCUUCGGAUCCGCACGUUUGGUGACUCUGGAUAACUUCGAGCUGAUCGCAUGGCCUCGCGCCGGCGACGUAUCUUUCAAGUGUGUGCCCUAUCAACUUUCGAUGGUACGUGAUAUGCCUACCAUGGUUGUAACGGGUAACGGGGAAUCAGGGUUC